AUUGAACGCUGGCGGCAGGCUUAACACAUGCAAGUCGAGCGAGCGGCUUACGGGUGAGUAAUGUCUGGGAAACUGCCUGUUGGAGGGGGCUAACUCCUGGCAACGGUAGCUAAUACCGCAUACCAUCAUAUGUGCCCAGAUGGGAUUAGCUCGUAGGUGGGGUAAUGGCGCACCUAGGCGACGAUCCCUAGCUGGUCUGAGAGGAUGACAAGCCACACUGGAAAGGGGACACGGUCCAGACUCGUACGGGAGGCAGCAGUGGGGAAUAUUGAACAAUGGGAGCAAGCAUGAUGCAGCCAGGCCGCGUGUGUGAAGAAGGCAUUCGGGUUGUAAAGCACUUUCAGCGAGGAGGCGUUACUCGCAGAAGAAGCACAGGCUAACUCAGUGCCAGCAGCCGCGGUAAUAC
rnacentral:rRNA from 1 species